GGACACGUCGGCCACUCGAGCGGGCAGGAUGGAGUAGGCCACGGUGCCGUUGGGGCCGAGGUCGGGGUCGUGCGCCAGCACCGAGCCCAGAAGUGGAAAAAGCUGAGGCGUGCCAAAGAAACCAAAAUUAAAUUCAAUAAGAUCCCAUCCAGAUCAACAUAAGCAAAAUAACAAAAAUUAAGUGUGUAGCUAGCUGCUACAUUGGUGACCCUGACGGGCCCAAACGUUUUUGGACCUAUGAUGUCUGCACAACAAGAGAUACAGGCAGUAGCCCUUAAACUGUCCACCUUCUGGACCCUCCAGCCCCAUGUCUGGUUCAACCAGGCUGAGGCCCAGUUCCAGAUUCGCCAGAUCACCAGGGACAACACCAAGUACUAUUACGUGGUGAGCGCCCUCGACCAAGACACCGCAGCCCAGGUCGAGGAUUUCAUCCAGGCGCCCCUGGAGGAGGAGAAGUACGAUAAGUUCAAGACCCUCCU